CUCAAUCUUCUAUCAGCUCGCACACAAUGUUCCUGCUGCAUCCGGUGCUUCUUCAUUCCACCCUUUUCCAUUUCCAAAUUUUAAAAAAAUUUCAAAUUCAAAAAUCCAGUCUAUAGUUUGGCUAGGUUCUAGGCUAUGCCCAUUCUAUAGUCUGAUAUGAUUGAUUCACGUCGCCAAACUAUUGUGACAGAGAGAGGCUGUGAAACAUUGUGUAAUAUUGUGAAUAGUUGCAUGUUCCGCAACCUAACCAAAAUCCUGUAUUUUCAUUCUCCGAUGUAUAGAGGUUGUCCACUUGUGUUGCUUGAAGAAACUGACUUCAUUUGGUAAGGUUCUUUGUAUAUAUCUAUUGAUGCUCUUGGACCACAUUCUUUUUUGGUUUGUUUCAUUAUUUUGUGUUGUUGCCUUUCUAUUUGCAGUAUCCUCUUCACUAUCUUAGUGUUCAUGUUGAUGUCUUCGUUCCUUUUAAAAAAUUCGUUUUAUUUGCAUGCUUGAUGCUUUAAUGGUUAUCUAUGUUAGUAGUUGAUCAUGGCACGUAAGCUGAACUCCAUUAUGGAAAUCACUGCUCAAAAGGAGGCUUGGAAAGUAAGUGUGUGUGUGUGUGUGUGUGUGUGGAUUAUUCAAAGGACUGCAAUGAUUAACAUUGAAAUGAUCUUGAUGGAUGAGAAGGUAUAAUAUAAAUUAUUCAUGUAUAUUGUCAAAUAAUUUCCACCUGAUAUCACAGUUUUUAAUUUUAAUAUUUGCAUAGGCUGAUAAGAUUGAUGCUCAAAUUAAAAAUGUUGAUCCUGGUAAGUGGAAUGAUGUUGUUAAAAUGGGUAAGACAUAGAUGAUACAAAAUUUUGAAGUUGAAAAGAAUAUUGGACAAUUUAGGCCAACAAAGCAUGCCUUUAAAUUGAACUUUGUCAAUUCUACAAAAGUAAGAGAGCAAGAUUUUCCAAUGAUACCAGAAAUGGUGCAUGAUUUUACACUAUUUGAUGAUGUUCUUAUUGGCAGUGCCAAUCCUGACUACUUAAUAGGUAUGUUUAUUACUUACUUCUUAUCCAGUCCACCCGUUGUCAUGGAUUCCAAAGUUAAUAAACCUGAGCCUAUGGGCAAAUGUUAUUAGGGAGUUAGUUGAUGUAUUGCAAUGGAGCCUAGAUGGAAAACCCAAAAAGGUGGUCUUCACUAUGAAGGAUAAGUGGUACUUUCUAUCAUUGUUAUUUUAAUGUUAAGUAGGAAUAUUUAUAAUGAUCCACGUGAUUGACUACAAUUAUGUUUUGUUUUUUAAUUUAAUAAUAGUGGUAUCAUUGUCAAUUGUACUCUAUGGGAGGAUUUUGCAUUCCUACUGAAAGAUUAUUUGGACAAACAUGAAAAUGGACCAGUUAUACUUCUACUUCAUUUGGCAAAAAUUAAGGAAGCACGAGUAUGAUUUAUGUAGAUAAAUUCUAGAUUAUAUUGUCAUUGCCUUAAUAAUCAUAUUACAUAUGUAGGGGCUUAUGUGGUGUCCAUUCAAAAUUCAAUGUAUGGUUCUAGACUAUUUAUCAAUGAAGAUUUGAAGGACAUUAAAGAUUAUAAAAAUGGGUAGUGAUUAUGAAACCAGACUUCUUUCUUCAAUAAAAAUGAAAAUGAGUAGUGAUUAUCCUUUUUCUUACUCUAUUGCAUAUUAGAUCCGAGUCAGCUAAGCGUUGUGACUUGCAGUCAAUGGUUGAGUCAAGUCUCUUAUUCUUUCCAACCUACUUCAAAGGAUAGAUUUCUUUAUAAUGCUCAAGUUAAAUCAUUGAGUGAACUUUGUGAGUUGAAAAAGGUACAUGUUAAUGGUUGCCAGGAUUGAUUUUGAUGAUUGAUUAUCUUUCACAAUUACCAAUAAUGUGAUGUUAAAAGUUUUAUAUAUUGUGUUUGCUAGGAAUGUGUUUUUGUGACUGUUGUCACAAUAACCAAGUUCUUAGUUGACAAUGGUUGGAUAUAUGAGAGUUGCCCAAAAUGUAACAAGAAAGUGGAAUUUGAGAAAUUUCCAUUCACCAGUCAAUGUUGUGGAAAUGAAAGUUCAACAACUGUGGCCAAGUUAUGUGUUUAAACUUGUGUUUCUUAUAUUAGACAUGUUAUGUAUAUGUUUCCAAUUCAUGCGUCAUUAAAUGAUUUAUGAUAACUUAAGUUAAAUCAUGCUAUACUAUAUAGGUUUCAGUUGGAAGUGAGAGUUGGCCAACCAAAUGAAACUACUAACUAUACUUUAUGGGAUCGUGAGUGCAAUGCACUCAUUAAAGAAAGUGCAAGUGAGAUUAAACAACAGAUUAUUAAUGAGGUGUAAACUAUAAUCUAAUAGCUUUAGUUGAUCAUCAUAAUCAGCUUGCAGUGUUUAUAUAUUUGAAUUUCAACUUCAUGUUAACCCUUGGCAGCAAGGUGAAUUUGAUCCAAAAGACAUUCCGAAGGCUAUUGAUAUGAUAUUGGGCAAAAAAUUAGCUUUUAGAUUUAAGGCUAUACCAAACAAUACCCGAUAUUCUGUCACAAAUCUCAGAGGAUGAAGAUCUAAUUAUGUUAUUAUUGAAGAGACUUCCUACAUAUGAGGUCAAUAUAAUUAAUAAUCUUUAUGGUUUGUAACAUGACACUUAUGAAUCUAAUUUUAUUAUUUUUUUAAUAUAGCUUGUUGGAAUUAAGCCUAAAAUGUCAAAUUAGUCUAUAAAGCAUGGAGAUGAUAUAGCCUACAUUGUAAAUUAUGGUUUAAUCUAUGUUUAUUAAUACUUAACUUACAGUGAAGGUAACAUCUAUUGCAUUUAUAUAUUGCCACAACAGUAAUCCUUAUCAGCCAGUGAAGAUUUUGAUCCUGAAUCAUCCAAGUCAGUAACUCCUACAAAGAGAGAAUUUCUUAUCUCUAAAUCUGAGUUGGAAUCAGUACCAUUUGAAGACCUGACAUCAAUUCAGUUAUCCUGUUCGAAAUUAUCCAAGCAUAUCAAGUCUGAAUAAAGCAUGAUUGGAUAAUAGGAUUUUGAAUCCUGCUUAUUUUCUGGGUUGUUUAAUGUUGCCUUUUGUGUGUUGUAAUAUCUCAAUAUUAAUGGUGAUGGUUCACCAAAACAAACUAUUUUAGGUGGUGGUGUAAUAUGUUAACAAUUAUGUUCUAUGUAGCAUGCUUAAUUUUUAAGAUAUAAGAUAUAUUUUUUUACUAUGAAA